rnacentral:rRNA from 1 species
UGWGGGGGAUAACUAGUCGAAAGAUUAGCUAAUACCGCAUACGACCUGAGGGUGAAAGCGGGGGACCGCAAGGCCUCGCGCAAUAGGAGCGGCCGAUGUCUGAUUAGCUAGUUGGUGGGGUAAAGGCCUACCAAGGCGACGAUCAGUAGCUGGUCUGAGAGGACGAUCAGCCACACUGGGACUGAGACACGGCCCAGACUCCUACGGGAGGCAGCAGUGGGGAAUUUUGGACAAUGGGGGCAACCCUGAUCCAGCAAUGCCGCGUGUGUGAAGAAGGCCUUCGGGUUGUAAAGCACUUUUGUCCGGAAAGAAAUGGCGCUGGYUAAUACCCGGCGUUGAUGACGGUACCGGAAGAAUAAGCACCGGCUAACUACGUGCCAGCAGCCGCGGUAAUACGUAGGGUGCGAGCGUUAAUCGGAAUUACUGGGCGUAAAGCGUGCGCAGGCGGUUUUGUAAGACAGGCGUGAAAUCCCCGAGCUCAACUUGGGAAUGGCGCUUGUGACUGCAAGGCUAGAGUAUGUCAGAGGGGGGGUAGAAUUCCACGUGUAGCAGUGAAAUGCGUAGAGAUGUGGAGGAAUACCGAUGGCGAAGGCAGCCCCCUGGGACGUCACUGACGCUCAUGCACG